rnacentral:rRNA from 1 species
UACGAAGGAUGCAAGCGUUAUCCGGAAUUAUUGGGUUUAAAGGGUGCGUAGGCGGACCUAUAAGUCAGUGGUGAAAGCCCCAAGCUCAACUUGGGAACUGCCAUUGAUACUGUUGGUCUUGAGUACAGUUGAGGUAGGCGGAAUGUGUCAUGUAGCGGUGAAAUGCUUAGAUAUGACACAGAACACCGAUUGCGAAGGCAGCUUGCUAAGCUGUAACUGACGCUGAUGCACGAAGGUCAGGGGAGCAAACGGG